rnacentral:rRNA from 1 species
UACAGAGGGUGCGAGCGUUGUCCGGAAUCACUGGGCGUAAAGGGCGCGUAGGUGGCGCGACAAGUCAGUGGUGAAAGCUCGGCGCUCAACGCCGAGUCGGCCACUGAUACUGUUGGGCUUGAGCACUGUAGAGGCUAAUGGAAUUCCGGGUGUAGCGGUGGAGUGCGUAGAGAUCCGGAAGAACACCGGUGGCGAAGGCGGUUCUCUGGGCCUGUACUGACGCUGAGGAGCGAAAGCGUGGGGAGCGAACAGG